UACAGAGGUCCCAAGCGUUGUUCGGAUUCACUGGGCGUAAAGGGUGCGUAGGCGGUCGGGUAAGUCUGAUGUGAAAUCUCACAGCUUAACUGUGAAACUGCAUUGGAUACUAUCCGGCUUGAGAGUUGGAGGGGGACUGGAAUUCUUGGUGUAGCAGUGAAAUGCGUAGAUAUCAGGAGGAACACCGGUGGUGUAAACGGCUUUCUGGACCAUAACUGACGCUGAGGCACGAAAGCGUGGGUAGCAAACAGG
rnacentral:rRNA from 1 species